UGUGAAAAUUACUGGUUGGGUAUACAUUUUUGUUUUUUAAUUACUUGUGAAAAUACAUGUUCAUAGUUGAAAAUACAAUUGUGCAAUUACAUGUUCAUCACUGUAAUUAGUUCGGUUUAGCCAAAUAUAAGCGAAAUGCUAGAAAAACUUGUUCGAACAAAAUAUAAGUCAAACAUCAAUCACAUUCAUUGUUGUCUUUGUUACGUUGUUGAUGUAGCAAAUGUUGGAAACUUCCACUUCUAGAUCCUUCAUAUGUCAUCGAAUGAGAAGGAUAAUGUGGUUGUAAAGCAUACGGCGGGAGUGGUUGCUGUAAUAUAUAAAAAAUUAAAACAUGAUAUGAGAUUUUAGAAAUUAAAAAAUAUAAGUAUACAAAAUAUUUAAUAUUCUUAUUAAGAAUAAAUUAUUAUAAAUUUGUACAAAAUUUUGAUCCACCAAUAAUUUAAUCCAUCAUAUUCUAAAAAUUAAAAUUAAAAAAUAAUAAAUCGAAUACAAAAUUUAAAUUAAAAAAUUCUAAAUCGAAACAAAAUUUAAAUUAAAAAUUUCUAAAUCCCACCCAUCAUUUAAAUUAAAAUAAACUUUUAAAUAAAAAAAUUUCUAAAUCAAACACAACAUUUAUAUUAAAAGAAAUUAUAAAUCCAACACAAAAUUUAAAUUAAAAAUUUCUAAAUCAAAUUUAUCAUUAUUUGAUUUCUAAAUAAAAAUUUCUAAAUCAAACUUCUAAAUCAAAAUUUCUAAAUCAAAAUUUCAUUAUCAUAUAACAAAAAUAAUAGAAUACAUAAAAAAAUCACUCUUUACCAGCUGGGUGUUUUACUUCAAGCUGGUGAUAAACUACUCCUGCUAGGCUGCUAAAGCCGUUUUCCUGCUUCUAAAAAGAGAAAAAAAAACCCCAACUCAAUCCUUUCACGUGAAUGAGCAAAUACUCCUGCCCUAAUGCCGUUCUCUCUACUUGUGAAAUGAGAGAAAAAUCUCAACUCAAUUAGUG
rnacentral:lncRNA from 1 species